rnacentral:rRNA from 1 species
GACGAACGCUGGCGGCGUGCUUAACACAUGCAAGUCGAACGGAAAGGCCCUGCUUGCAGGGUACUCGAGUGGCGAACGGGUGAGUAACACGUGGGUGAUCUGCUCUGCACUUCGGGAUAAGCCUUGGAAACUGGGUCUAAUACCGGAUAGUAGCCAUUCUUAGUGUGUUGGUUGGAAAGUAUUUUCGGUGUAGGAUGAGCUGGCGGCCUGUCAGCUUGUUGGUGGGGUAAUGGCCUACCAAGGCGGCGACGGGUAGCCGGCCUGGGGGGGUGGACGGCCACAGUGGGGCUGGGAUACGGCCCAGGCUCCCACAGGAGGCAGCAGGGGGGAAUAUUGCACAAUGGGCGCGAGCCUGAUGCAAGGACGCCGGGUGGGGGAAGACGGGCUUCGGGUUGGAAACCCCUUUCGCUAGGGACGAAGCUUUUUGUGACGGUACCUAGAUAAGAAGCACCGGCUAACUACGUG